CGUUCAAUAUGCUGAGAUGGCAGCAAGCGUGACAGCGGUGUUGACAUUGAAGAAUGUUUCUCUUGUCAGUAGCGUUCCUCGUGAUAAUUUGCUGUACUAUCAUUAAUAAUGUUAUGAAUAUUCCCUGCACUGUACUGGAGCAAAUUUGGAUUAGUUAACCUUACAGAGGAACGGGGACCAUGCGUAGCUUUUUAUAAUCUAAGAAUUUGUGACUGGUGUGUUACAACACGAGCCAAAGCUUUUAAGAGUACAGUUUUAUAUAGAUCACUGAUACUAUAAACCUAUAUAAGAGAAGAAAAUGCCUAGCCACUACAUAAGGGUGAUAUCCAAGAUUCGUCAACUUUAAAGCAUAAAUUAUUGAGAAAGGAAUAAUAAAUAGGAAAAAAAAACUUUAUAAUGUCCCUGACCAGUAAGGAGAAAGAAAUCCAGUGUGUUGUGCACUGGUUCCAAGAAUGGAGCCCCAUGCAGAAAGAAGAUUUUUUAAAAGACAUCGUGGAGAAAAUUGUCCCAAACAAGAUGGAUACUCUUUUCGAUGCUAUGGGCUCUCUCAAUGUCAAGGACAGACCGCCCAGCAUCUACCAGUGCCAGAUGAAACUUUUCACUCAGUGGUUUGAAUCUUGGACAGACAAAGAAAGAAAUGCUUUUAUUACUAAACUUGAAGAAGUGGAUGCAGGAUUUAUGAAUAUUUUACGUGAACAAAUAGCUCUGGCAGAGCAGUCAGCAUAAUAUAGCAAGAAUGAAUUAUUACUAAAAUCUGGUGCUGUACUUGAAGUAGACCAUAUAAUGCUUGCUAUAAGUGAUCUGAACAUCGUGCUGAAAAUAUAAUGUUGGUAAAUUGCUCUGUGCUGUUAUAUAGAUUUUAGACAUUGAUCCUGAUUAUUGUUAAUACCAAAUGAUAUAUAUAGUACAUUGUUACAUCCAUAACAUGGCAACAAUGUUGAAUAAUAAGAAAAAUUUAAUGUGA